AUGAAAGUGAAAUUUUGGUGCUACAAUGAUUGCUGGGAAGAUCAUUUUGGUAUAUCAAAUGAUUAUAACAUCAUCUUGAUUAUGAUUUUUUUUUUGGCAUUCAGAAGCUAUGUAUAUGUAGCAUCGGCACCUCUGAAGUUUUUCAAAUUGUUACUCGUGUCGAUGUGCCGUGUCCGGUGUCUGUGUCCGAGCUUCAUAGGUCAGAAGUUACAAUUAACUAAGACCAAGUUAAUGUCAUUUGAUAGUGGGAUGGUACAAAAUUUAUAG